GGAGGGGGCAAGCGUUGUUCGGAAUUACUGGGCGUAAAGGGCGCGUAGGCGGAAGAUCAAGUCAGGGGUGAAAGGCCUGGGCUCAACCCGGGAACUGCCUUUGAAACUGGUUUUCUAGAGUACGGGAGAGGAUGGCGGAAUUCCCAGUGUAGAGGUGAAAUUCGUAGAUAUUGGGAAGAACACCGGUGGCGAAGGCGGCCAUCUGGCCCGGUACUGACGCUAAGGCGCGAAAGCGUGGGGAGCAAACAGGAUUAGAUACCCUGGUAGUCCACGCCGUAAACGAUGUGUGCUAGCCGUUGGGGCCUCAGGUCUCAGUGGCGCAGCUAACGCGUUAAGCACACCGCCUGGGGAGUACGGCCGCAAGGUUA
rnacentral:rRNA from 1 species